GAUGAACGCUGGCGGCGUGCUUAACACAUGCAAGUCGAACGGUGAAGCCCCGCUUGCGGGGUGGAUCAGUGGCGAACGGGUGAGUAACACGUGAGCAACCUGCCCCGGACUCUGGGAUAAGCGCUGGAAACGGCGUCUAAUACUGGAUACGAGCCGUGAAGGCAUCUUCAACGGUUGGAAAGAUUUUUCGGUCUGGGAUGGGCUCGCGGCCUAUCAGCUUGUUGGUGAGGUAAUGGCUCACCAAGGCGUCGACGGGUAGCCGGCCUGAGAGGGUGACCGGCCACACUGGGACUGGGACGCGGACCAGACUCCUACGGGAGGCAGCAGUGGGGAAUAUUGCACAAUGGGCGGAAGCCUGAUGCAGCAACGCCGCGUGAGGGAUGACGGCCUUCGGGUUGUAAACCUCUUUUAGCAAGGAAGAAGCGAAAGUGACGGUACUUGCAGAAAAAGCGCCGGCUAACUACGUGCCAGCAGCCGCAGUAAUAC
rnacentral:rRNA from 1 species